rnacentral:rRNA from 1 species
AGUGAACGCUGGCGGUAGGCCUAACACAUGCAAGUCGAACGGCAGCACAGUAAGAGCUUGCUCUUACGGGUGGCGAGUGGCGGACGGGUGAGGAAUACAUCGGAAUCUACUUUUUCGUGGGGGAUAACGUAGGGAAACUUACGCUAAUACCGCAUACGACCUACGGGUGAAAGCAGGGGAUCUUCGGACCUUGCGCGAUUGAAUGAGCCGAUGUCGGAUUAGCUAGUUGGCGGGGUAAAGGCCCACCAAGGCGACGAUCCGUAGCUGGUCUGAGAGGAUGAUCAGCCACACUGGAACUGAGACACGGUCCAGACUCCUACGGGAGGCAGCAGUGGGGAAUAUUGGACAAUGGGCGCAAGCCUGAUCCAGCCAGACCGCGUGGGUGAAGAAGGCCUUCGGGUUGUAAAGCCCUUUUGUUGGGAAAGAAAAGCAGCAGGUGAAUACCCCGCUGUUCUGACGGUACCCAAAGAAUAAGCACCGGCUAACUUCGUG